rnacentral:lncRNA from 1 species
AAAAGUUGACAUAAUUUUGGCUUGCACUCUCUCAAUAUAAAUUAGCUCCACCAGUGAUCCUCUUCCUAUCAUUUAGCAACAACACCGAGUCUUUAGAGGACACCCUCAUUUCACCUUCAAUUCCUCUCGUGUUCAUCAAGAAAAUUAAAGCUAAUAUGGGUGAUAGAGCUGAAUGUGAGCGUGUUUUCAAGCGCUUUGAUGUGAAUGGCGAUGGCAAGAUCUCUCUGGCUGAGUUUGCAGAUGCUCUCAAAGUGUUAGGCUUAACAUCUCAGGAGGAAGUUCAGCGUCGAAUGGCGGAAAUUGAUAAGGAUGGUGAUGGUUAUAUCACAUUGGAAGAGUUAGUUGAAUUUGAUAGCGCCCAUCCUAACUUGAUGAAGGAUGUUUUGAAGAAACUCUAAGCUUUCUGCAUUUGUUUUCAAUGUUCUUAUAUUGGCAUUAAAAAUCUUAUUUCUUUCUUGUUACCAUAUUUUUAUAUAUUCAGAAGUUUUAAGUUGUGGAGUAAUAUAUAUAAAAAUUUGUAAUAUUAAAUACAAAUUAAUUACAAAUCAUCAAUUAACCAUUUCAUAGUGAGGAAUCCCUUUCCUGGUCUUCAAAAGCUUUAUAGCAAGAUAUCUAAUUCCCCAAAUUCUGAAAGUGCAUUAUGAUAGCAUAUAUGCAUGCAAUAAUUUUCAAGGUGAUUAUCCAGUGCCAAAAGUUCUAUAGUGGAAAUCUGUAGGAAACAAAUGAGCCAAAUGAAUCAUUUUUCUUUUAUCAAAACAAAUGAAUCUCUUGGAAUUAAGUUCGAUACCAAAGAGAAGCAACUCAAUAUUCACUUUGAUUGAUAAAAUAAUUAUUCAACUCUUGAAGUUGUCGAUCAAUCACUUACUAGAUUAAUUCAACUUAUAAUUAUGAAAAUUAGUAAUUGCACUAAUUUUGAAAGUGCAUUAUUAGAGCAUAUAUCCCUGAAAUAAUUUUAAGGUGAUUAUCCAGUGCUAAAAGUUCUACAUGAGAAAAUUUGAAGGAAACAAAUGAGCCAGACGAAUCAUUUUUUCUUUAUCAAAUACAAUGAAUGAAUCUCUUGAAACUAAGCAAGCUACAAAAGAAGCAACUCAAUUUUCACUUUGAUCGAUGAAUUAACUAUUUAACUCGUGAAGCUGUUGAUCAAUCACCUAGCUACUAGAAUAAUUUAACUUAAAAUGAUGCAAAUUAUAAAUUUUGUCCAUUUUGUGCCUUGAUCUUCCUUAUGUUUGAAAGGUACUAGUCAUAUAUUAGGAAUAGCAUCAUUGUUCCUUUUACAAAAUAAUGAAAUCUCAUUGAGAAAAGAAUGUCAACCAUCAUCUCUUUAACUUGCAACCUCUAAUUUUCUUGUACAUCGAAAAAAUAAAUUGCACAUGUUAGGAAUCGAUCCCUGAAUCUCUCAUUACCCAACCAAUAUGUCCCUCAGCUCUUACCACUUGAGCUAUCCUACGGGGAUUGCGAUCUUUAUUUUGACACAGUAGCCCAAAGCAUAGCAUUUAAAAUAUCAUGAUCACUUCUUUUGUACUACUUGAGAAUUGAGAUAACUCAUUAGUAGUCCCAAAAUAUUUUUUAUCAAAAUUAAAAAGGUUUCAUAGAAUUCUACAAAGUAAAUGCUUUAACUUAUUUCUUUUUACUUUCUUUUUGUAUUUGGGUUGGAGCGUCCUUAUUCUUCCUUUAAUAAAAAAUUUGGCUUAUAAAAAAAUGUUUCAGCUUUUUGGUAUAAACUUAUUCCAUAUUCCUCCAAAAUUUCAAGCACAUAAACCUUUGAAGAUAACAAAGAAAUUAUACUAAAUAAUGUAUCAUAAUGUUAGCCUCAUGGUAUCCCAGGUGCUUAACUGUAAUAAUAAUCACAAGAGAUUUUUCCUUUUUCCGAUCCUUCUUUCACCUUAAAAGUUUGAUUUUCACGAAGAAUAUCUCGAAACUAGCUCACAUAAAGCUCUAAAUUACAUUAUACAAAUUAGCAAUUGUAAUAAAAAAUAAUGCAAUUUUUAACAUGUUUUUUUUUUAUUUUCUACAUUGUAAGCUGACACUAUUUAGAAGUGGUUAUACGACUGAAGUUAAUUUUUAUGAAUUUGUGUUGGCUCUUAUGCCAAGUGAGUUAUGUCGGGGUCGAAGUCGGUUAAACUGACACUAAAUAGUUAGAUUCAACCUUUUUAAUGUAAGCCCCGAUGCUAACCGUAAGCCAGCACUAAAUCGGCAUUAGUAUAAACUUUUACUUACUUAACGUUGACUUAUGGUCAAUGCUAAAAAUUUGGGAUUUUGUGGGGCCUUUUUAGCGGCGGGGGGGGUGGGCGCCGACCACCCCUUUACUCUAUCACUUNNNNNNNNNNNNNNNNNNNNNNNNNNNNNNNNNNNNNNNNNNNNNNNNNNNNNNNNNNNNNNNNNNNNNNNNNNNNNNNNNNNNNNNNNNNNNNNNNNNNNNNNNNNNNNNNNNNNNNNNNNNNNNNNNNNNNNNNNNNNNNNNNNNNNNNNNNNNNNNNNNNNNNNNCAAGCCAAAAGCCCAUGCGGAUCCACACCGUCCAGCUUAAUCCUAAGAGAACAGCCUAGUCCUCUGAUUAAAGACUCAAUCACCCAGUCCAAAGUCCAUGACAGUCCAAAGUCCAUGACAGUCUCUUAUAAGGCCAUUUUUUAGAGUUUUUUUUGUUCCUAAAUAUAAGUCCAUUUCUAAGAUUUAAAUAGCAUUGAUUAUUUUUUUUUCCAAAUUUACCCUCUUCAUACUUUUGCUUUUCAUAAUUUUACUUAUUUUCAAUGCCACAAUCAUUCAUUACCUUUUACUACCUUUUCAUUUGCUCGAGUACUUGGGGUAUGUGAGUAUAACUAAAUGCUAUAGAUACUACUUAGGGAUUGCCUUGAAUUAAGGUGCAGUUACGGUACCCACGAUAUUAAUCUAUAUAAAUAUAAGACUUUGUGAAACAAAUUGAGGAUGGAAUCAGCACCAAUAUCUUCUUCUACAACAAGGUUAAGAUCUGGUAUCACACUUUGUACAAUUUGCUCAAUAUCUUCUUCAUCUCUAGCUAACAAAUUCAAAUCUAUAUUCAUUGUGGUGUAAAUUGUUUAGAGCACACAUUGAAAUGGUGAAUAUUUAAGCUGGAUUUUUUCAAUUGAGGAUGGAAUCAGCACCAAUAUCUUCUUCUACAACAAGGUUAAGAUCUGGUAUCACACUUUGUACAAUUUGCUCAAUAUCUUCUUCAUCUCUAGCUAACAAAUUCAAAUCUAUAUCCAUUGUGGUGUAAAUUGUUUAGAGCACACAUUGGAAUGGUGAAUAUUUAAGCUGAAUUUUUUUAGUUCCCAAAAUAAAUUUUGGUGGGAACAAGUUUAGCGUGAAAAUUUUUCAGAAAGAAAAUCAAUUCAUUAACACUUGAAAUUGUUAGAGGGAACUAAAAAAUUUGGAAUUUGCUGGAAAUUAAAAAUGAGAGGGAACAAAUAAUUUGGAGUCUUGGUGCAGUGUUUGCAAUUAAAAAGGCAAUGAAUUAUUCAUCUAAAACAAGAAAACAGUGAAUUGCCAAUGGAGUAAAUUUGAGGGGCCGGUUGAAAAUAUCAAGAUAAACCCUUAUAUCAAUGCUUGGAGUUACUAGUGGAGUAGUUAAUUUGGAAUAAGAAUUAAUUACAUUCAAAAAAGUUAUAAAUAAGGGUAAUUUAGUAAUGUUCCUUAAAAAUUUUAACAAAUUUAUUGCUUUUAACUAAUUUUAACAACUUUUCUUAAUCCUAGAGAUUUAGUUAAAUUGACCUUAUAAUAAGGAACGGAGGGAGUAAUACAUAUCUUAGUUAUUUUCAUUCAUUCAGGAUUUAAGGAAUCAAUAACCAAUCAAAUGAGUUUAGAAUCUAUUCUUAUGUUUCGGUUUCGUAAAAUUUAGCAUUUUUGUUUAUGUUAUGAGUGCAAGUCCAUAAAUCUCGGGUAAUAGUUGGCUAUAGAAUGUUGAUGAAAGUUUGAGACCAGAAAUUAAUCAUCAGGAGUCACACAAUUCUAGCCCAUCAAUUCUUGACAUAAUUAUAGCUUGCAUGCUCUUAUAUAAAUUAACUCCGGAAUUGAUCCUAUGAUGAAUCAACAAACAAUUAAAACCCUUGCAUUCAACUUUUUAAACAUCAUUCUUUCUUCGAUCAUCAAGAAAUAUUGAAGGUAACAUGGCUGCAGAUAGAGCAGAGUGUGAGCGCAUUUUCAAGCGCUUUGAUGUGAAUGGCGAUGGGAAGAUCUCUUUGGCUGAAUUUGCAGAUGCUCUCAAAGUGCUAGGCUUAACUUCUCAGGAGGAAGUUCAGCGUCGAAUGGCCGAAAUUGAUAAAGAUGGUGAUGGGUUUAUCACACUCGAAGAGUUGAUUGAAUUUCACACCACCAGCCCAAACCUCAUGAAGGAUGUGUUGAAGAAACUCUAAGCUCUCUGCAUUUUGUUGAAUAUAUUCUUAUUCCCAUAUUAAAAACCUUCUCGUGGGAUUGUUAUGAAUUUUUGUUAUUUAAUUGAGAAUGGUUUCGAUGUUUAUGUGGGGCUUUCUUUGGGUUAUGAAAAGAUAGUCAUCACCAUCACCACUUCUUUCUAUUUUUUAUUUUUCAGUAAUUAAGUGUAUCUAUAUGUCUCACCAAUAGACAAAUAAAGUCAUUUGUCUGAGUGCUUUUGAAUUUUUAAUGGUUUCUUUUUUCUUUUAUCAGCUGAAUGUUA